rnacentral:piRNA from 1 species
UGCUGACAACACAGGGAUGGAUACAAAAGUU